rnacentral:lncRNA from 1 species
UCAAUUUUUCUUCUGUUUUAGGCAUGAAAUAACUUGAAAGUAGAGUGAUACUGAGGCAGGGUUUCUCAGAGCCAUUCUGUCUUCAAUGACCAAAGUUUUUCUGCUAUUUCACUUAGUUUAGCUGCUGUAACGUAACAAAAAUAUAGGACAUCAGGACUUUUUAGGCUGCUGCUGCAGUGCAGGUGCCUCUCAAAGAGUUAGAUUCAUCCUAUCACCCCAGAAACCUUGGCAUCUCUCUUUCAACAAAAAUCCAUUCUCAUGGAAUUCAAAAACAUCAAUGAAAAUGUGCUAUUUGACUCCAUAAAGAUUUGUCAAAUGACAAAACCUGACUUUUCCCAGUAAGAUCUGUAAAAGAACCAGGAUUAAACUCCAGACUCCAAAAUGGCUCAGAGGAAUCCAGUUCUUAAAGCACAAUUACCCUUAGAGUAAUUUGAGCAUAUGACAAAGUAACUCUAACACAUCAAAACUUUGAAAUCUUGACUUUCUGAGGACCUGCUGUUCUCUCCUGCACCUGCAUCUUUUAACCCCAUUGAUCUCCAGGACCUCAUUGGAAAGGAGAUUUCUUCCAAUUUUCCUUCAUUCAUGCUCUCUGAGCGUUGCACUUAAUGAGACAGAUAAAAUUUUAAAACUGAUGUGACAGUUUUAGGAGUAAUUACAGCACAUUAGCAACAGCUGCUUUAUGAUUUCAGCUCCCAACCUCAUAUAAACAUGUCACUGUGAUGCCCCAGUCCUCAUGACAACACCCAGGUACCCUGGGGAGGUUGUUCUCAUGUCACACACAGAACUUGUUUUGAACUCCCCCUCACAUCUCAGCAACAACAUUCAACAUUGAAUUUCAUAUAACACCAUGAAAACAACUGUCAAACUUAAAUAGAAAAAGUAAAAGUGUAAGUGUGUAGAUUAGAGAGUUUUCUUAAGCCACUGGGUGAAAAAGCUAGAGUAUGAGCUAGUUUAGAGAACAGAAGAUGGAGGAUUUAGGUUGUUGUCUCUUUUCUUUCUUCUUCAUCUUCUUCUCCUAGAGGUUUUGGGUAGUAGUAGGUGAUUGGACAGAAAAUGCCACAGUGCAGCACACAGGUGAUGGGUCAUUGGGUCACUAAGAAAAAUAAUAUACAUGUU